rnacentral:sRNA from 1 species
CCCGCCAAGCCUCUUAACGAUGCUCAAAUGGGCGGGU